UUGAUUUAAAUCCGUAAAACAUAUAAAAUGUUUCUACUUAUGUCCGUUACAGACUUUGAAACAAUACAACCGAUGUAUCUAUCCCAAACCAGUUUUAU